rnacentral:rRNA from 1 species
AGAGUUUGAUCAUGGCUCAGGACGAACGCUGGCGGCGUGCCUAAUGCAUGCAAGUCGCGCGGGUGGCUUCGGCUACCAGCGGCGCACGGCUGAGGAACACGUGUGUACCAACCGUUCAGUGGGGGACAACGUUGGGAAACCAGCGCUAAUCCCGCAUACGCUCGCAGGAGUAAAGCCGCAAGGCGCUGAACGCUGGGCGCGCGUCCCAUCAGGUUGUUGGCGGGGUAACGGCCCACCAAGCCGUUGACGGGUCGCUGGUCUGAGAGGAUGACUAGCCAGACUGGGACUGAGACACGGCCCAGACUCCUACGGGAGGCAGCAGCAAGGAAUUUUCGGCAAUGGGCGCAAGCCUGACCGAGCAACGCCGCGUGCGGGAUGACGGCCUUCGGGUUGUAAACCGCUUUUCGAGGGGAUGACAUCGACCGUACCCUCGGAAUAAGCCCCGGCUAACUCUGUGCCAGCAGCCGCGGUAAUUC